rnacentral:rRNA from 1 species
GUCUGGUGGCGAUAGCGAAGAGGUCACACCCGUUCCCAUACCGAACACGGAAGUUAAGCUCUUUAGCGCCGAUGGUAGUUGGGACUUUGUCCCUGUGAGAGUAGGACGUUGCCAGGC